rnacentral:rRNA from 1 species
GGGUGCGAUCAUACCAGCACUAAUGCACCGGAUACCAUCAGAACUCCGAAGUUAAGCGUGCUUGGGCGAGCACGAGAGUAGUACUAGGAUGGGUGACCCCCUGGGAAGUCCUCGUGUUGCACCCC